rnacentral:rRNA from 1 species
GAUGAACGCUGGCGGCGUGCCUAAUACAUGCAAGUCGAGCGAACGGACGAGAAGCUUGCUUCUCUGAUGUUAGCGGCGGACGGGUGAGUAACGCGUGUAUAACCUACCUAUAAGACUGGGAUAACUUCGGGAAACCGGAGCUAAUACCGGAGAAUAUUCUGAACCGCAUGGUUCAAAGGUGAAAGACGGCGUUGCGGGAAGUAAUAGAGGGAUCGGCGCUGCAUUAGGUAGUUGGUAAGGUAACGGCUUACCAAGGCAACGAUGCAUAGCCGACGUGAGAGGGUGAUCGGCCACACUGGAACUGAGACACGGUCCAGACUCCUACGGGAGGCAGCAGUAGGGAAUCGUCCGCAAUGGGCGAAAGCCUGACGGAGUAACGCCGCGUGUGUGAUGAAGGUCUUCGGAUCGUAAAACUCUGUUAUUAGGGAAGAACAUAUGUGUCAGUAACUGUGCACAUCUUGACGGUACCUAAUCAGAAAGCCCCGGCUAACUACGUG